CCCUUAGAUGUUCGGGGCCGCACGCGCGCUACACUGAAGGAAUCAGCACGUCUUUCUCCUUGUCCGAAAGGACUGGGUAACCCGCUGAACCUCCUUCGUGCUAGGGAUUGGGGCUUGUAAUUCUUCCCCAUGAACGAGGAAUUCCCAGUAGCGCGAGUCAUAAGCUCGCGUUGAUUACGUCCCUGCCCUUUGUACACACCGCCCGUCGCUACUACCGAUUGGAUGGUUUAGUGAGAUCCUCGGAUUGGUCCCGGAGCGGCCUCUGGUCGUGCCGGAGUGCCGAAAAGAAUGUCGAACUUGAUCAUCUAGAGGAAGUAAAAGUCGUAACA
rnacentral:rRNA from 1 species